rnacentral:rRNA from 1 species
GGGGAAUUUUUGGACAAUGGGACGAAAGCCUGAUCCAGCAAUGCCGCGUGCAGGAUGAAGGCCUUCGGGUUGUAAACUGCUUUUGUACGGAACGAAAAAGCUCCUUCUAAUACAGGGGGCCCAUGACGGUACCGUAAGAAUAAGCACCGGCUAACUACGUGCCAGCAGCCGCGGUAAUACGUAGGGUGCGAGCGUUAAUCGGAAUUACUGGGCGUAAAGCGUGCGCAGGCGGUUAUGUAAGACAGAUGUGAAAUCCCCGGGCUCAACCUGGGAACUGCAUUUGUGACUGCAUGGCUAGAGUACGGUAGAGGGGGAUGGAAUUCCGCGUGUAGCAGUGAAAUGCGUAGAUAUGCGGAGGAACACCGAUGGCGAAGGCAAUCCCUGGACCUGUACUGACGCUCAUGCACGAAAGCGUGGGGAGCAAACA